rnacentral:misc_RNA from 1 species
GGGUAUUUGGCUCCAGAAUAUGCAUCCUCUGGAAAGCUUACAGAGAAGUCGGAUGUAUUCUCCUUUGGUGUAAUGCUUCUCGAGCUGAUUACUGGACGUCGGCCUGUUGACUCUACUCAAUCAUACAUCGAAGAUAGUUUGGUGGACUGGGCACGCCCAUUACUCACACGAGCUUUAGAAGAUGAAAAGUUUGAUGGCCUUGUUGAUCGUCGGCUAGAAAAUGAUUAUAACCAUA